rnacentral:rRNA from 1 species
UACGGAGGGUGCAAGCGUUAAUCGGAAUUACUGGGCGUAAAGGGCGCGUAGGCGGCCUUCUAAGUCGAACGUGAAAUCCCCGGGCUCAACCCGGGAACUGCGUCCGAGACUGGAAGGCUUGAAUCCGGGAGAGGGAUGUGGAAUUCCAGGUGUAGCGGUGAAAUGCGUAGAUAUCUGGAGGAACAUCGGUGGCGAAGGCGGCAUCCUGGACCGGUAUUGACGCUGAGGCGCGAAAGCCAGGGGAGCAAACGGG